AGAGUUUGAUCCUGGCUCAGAACUAACGCUGGGCGGCGUGCCUAACACAUGCAAAGUCGAAACGGAGAAAAGCCGGCAAGGUGAGUAAAAGUGGCGGACGGGUGCGUAACACGUGGGUAAAUCUACCUAUUGGCUUGGGAUAACAGUCCGAAAGGAUUGCUAAAUAACCGGAUAAAGACCACAGCUCUGCGGAGUGGUGGUAAAAGGCGCUCGCAAGGGUGCCACCGAUUGAUGAGCCCGCGGCCUAUCAGCUUGUUGGCGGGGUAACGGCCCACCAAGGCUACGACGGGUAGCUGGUCUGAGAGGACGACCAGUCACACUGGAACUGAGACACGGUCCAGACUCCUACGGGAGGCAGCAGUGGGGAAUAUUGCGCAAAUGGACGAAAGUCUGACGCAGCAACGCCGCGUGGGUGAUGAAGGCCUUCGGGUUGUAAAGCCCUGUCGCCCGGGACGAACAAGUCGUCUAACUAACGACUCUGACGGUACCGGGAGAGGAAGCACCGGCUAACUCUGUGCCAGCAGCCGCGGUAAUACAGAGGGUGCUAGCGUUUGUUCGGAAUUAUUGGGCGUAAAGGGGCGCGUAGGCGGCCCUGUGUGUCGGGUGUGAAAGCCCACCUCUUAAAGGUGGAAUUGCAUUCGAAACUACAGGGCUGGAGUGUCGGAGAGGAUGGCGGAAUUCCUGGUGUAGAGGUGAAAUUCGUAGAUAUCAGGAGGAACACCGGUGGCGAAGGCGGCCAUCUGGACGACAACUGACGCUGAGGCGCGAAAGCGUGGGGAUCAAACAGGAUUAGAUACCCUGGUAGUCCACGCUGUAAACGAUGGGUGCUAGGUGUUGUGGGUAUUGACCCCCGCAGUGCCGUCGCUAACGCAUUAAGCACCCCGCCUGGGGAKACGGCCGCAAGGCUAAAACUCAAAGGAAUUGACGGGGGUCCGCACAAGCGGUGGAGCAUGUGGUUCAAUUCGACGCAACGCGCAGAACCUUACCUGGGCUUGACGAUCCACGGAACCUCUUGGAAACAAGAGGGUGCCUCGCAGAGAGGAGCCGUGAGACAGGUGCUGCAUGGCUGUCGUCAGCUCGUGUCGUGAGAUGUUGGGUUAAGUCCCGCAACGAGCGCAACCCUUGUCUGUAGUUGCCAGCGAGUCAUGUCGGGCACUCUACAGAGACUGCCGGCGUUAAGCCGGAGGAAGGCAGGGAUGACGUCAAGUCCUCAUGGCCUUUAUGCCCAGGGCUACACACGUGCUACAAUGGCGACCACAAACCGUUGCUAACUCGCGAGAGUACGCUAAUCGGAAAAAAGUCGCCUCAGUUCAGAUUGCAGUCUGCAACUCGACUGCAUGAAGGCGGAAUCGCUAGUAAUCGCGCAUCAGAACGGCGCGGUGAAUACGUUCCCGGGCCUUGUACACACCGCCCGUCACACCACGAAAGUCGCUUGGACCAGAA
rnacentral:rRNA from 1 species